rnacentral:tRNA from 1 species
GCAGUGGUUGUUCAGUGGUAGAACUCUUGCUUUCUAUGUGGGAGACCUGGGUUCAAUUUCCAGCCAAUUCA